rnacentral:misc_RNA from 1 species
CUGAGUACUACACUCCCUACCUUUGUGAACUAUUAUACCUGUUGCUUCGGCGGCGCCCGCGAGGGUGCCGCCGGUCUCAUCAGAAUCUCUGUUUUCGAACCCGACGAUACUUCUGAGUGUUCUUAGCGAACUGUCA